rnacentral:rRNA from 1 species
UAGGACGUCCCCUUCGGGGGCAGAGUGACAGGUGGUGCAUGGUUGUCGUCAGCUCGUGUCGUGAGAUGUUGGGUUAAGUCCCGCAACGAGCGCAACCCUUGAUCUUAGUUGCCAGCAUUCAGUUGGGCACUCUAAGGUGACUGCCGGUGACAAACCGGAGGAAGGUGGGGAUGACGUCAAAUCAUCAUGCCCCUUAUGACCUGGGCUACACACGUGCUACAAUGGACAGAACAAAGGGCAGCGAAACCGCGAGGUUAAGCCAAUCCCACAAAUCUGUUCUCAGUUCGGAUCGCAGUCUGCAACUCGACUGCGUGAAGCUGGAAUCGCUAGUAAUCGCGGAUCAGCAUGCCGCGGUGAAUACGUUCCCGGGCCUUGUACACACCGCCCGUCACACCACGAGAGUUUGUAACACCCGAAGUCGGUGAGGUAACCUUUUAGGAGCCAGCCGCCGAAGGU